UACGUAGGUGGCAAGCGUUGUCCGGAUUUAUUGGGUUUAAAGGGUGCGUAGGCGGUCUAAUAAGUCAGUGCUGAAAUAUCCCGGCUUAACCGGGAGGGUGGCAUUGAUACUGUUGGACUUGAGUAGAGUUGAGGUUGGCGGAAUUGACGGUGUAGCGGUGAAAUGCUUAGAUAUCGUCAAGAACACCGAUAGUGAAGACAGCUAACUAAGCUCAAACUGACGCUGAGGCACGAAAGUGUGGGGGAUCAAACAGG
rnacentral:rRNA from 1 species